GUAGCGCGCGUGCGCGAUCGCCGAGGCGCGCUGUCUGGGUGGUGGGAGCUCAACCCGCAGCCGCGGCUACCGUUCUCUUGGCUCCUGCCCCCGCCUUAGUCGCUCUGCGGGGUUGGUUCGGUCCCGGCACUUCCAGAGGCCUCAGGGUCCUGGUCUUGUAGAGACUUCCUGAACGGUGGCGCCUGUUCUAGUGUGUGUGCGCUAACUGUCUGUUCUGUGCCAGCCGCGCGCGGCCAAGGGCGGGAGGACGGGGGUUGUGGAGGGGAGGAUGGAAGUUGGGGAGAGAGGGCGGGGACGAGAUAGGAGCUCGGGGGUGGGGAGGAUGGUCGCGGGGCGGUCCGGGGCUGGGGACGAUGGGCCUGAGGCGCGGGUACGCACUGAACGUUCCAACCGUCCCCGGCCGGCCGGGUUUCAGGUUUGAAAAGGUGGGAAGGUUAGCUGUCCUGGCGCUUUUCCUCCACGUGUUGUGCGGCUCCGCUGGAGUUCGGGUCCAGCACCUUCUACUCCGAGGGAGAGAGCCGCGGGGAGAGCCAUGUUCGGGCCCGAGGCUCGAACUGACCGCCGGCUCUGCAGAGCAGCCUCGACCCCAGGGCACCCCCGGGAGGGAGGGCGCGGCUCAGGUUCCUGCCCGAACCCCUGGGGUGCUGAGACUCCCCAGCGCCCCGCGUGGGCUCCCGGCCUCUCCACAGUUGAGGAUCCUGUAAAGAGCGAGCCCUUUUCCCGUGAUGGCUGUAGUGAGUGGAUGUGCUUUCCCGAUUGACCCGCUGGGAGUAGAAAUGUGGUUUACAGCUUCUAUCAGGAUUAGCUUCAGCUUCAAGUGACAAAAGUCCAAAAUAUGAGUUGCUGAAACAAGUCUCUCCCCUCAACAGGACUGUUACAACACAUUAUCUUCAGAGAACCAGGCUCUCUGCAACAUUUCAUGGUCAUCGUUCAGUACCUUAUGUGAAAUUCAAGUUUAGCUGGGCAUCCUGUAUUUUAAUUGGCUAACUCGUGGAACUCUCAACUUGGAUCAAGUGGCACUGGAGUCCCAGGGAUUCUGAGCAGCCAGUGUGUAAUACUGCCUGGCAGCACACCCUGGGGAGGCCAACUGUACAGAAUAAAAUUAAUGCUUUCUAUCUUUAGCAACUAAAGUUCUGAAAUAUAAAAAGGACCUCACAGCUUAACCCAUGUUAUAUGGUGGGGUUUUCCCAUGAACAUCACGCGUUUCCAGCUGGACACUCCUGCAGCAUGGCUAAGAUGACAACUCAAGUUUCCUGGGAGUGGGGGUUCCUGGGAUGUGAACCUUUCGGUGCAAAAACUGGAGAAGUUCCAGUUGGGACCUCAGGCAUAGAUACCAGGAUAAAUAGGGCCUCUCUCCUCCAGGAGCAUCAAUUUAACCCAAAGAUUCUUGGAGUCAGUUUCACAUAAGUAAUGUUGUUAAAAAUAGUAAUCCCAACAGAUCUAUUUUUCCAAAUGCACCAUUUGCAUAAAUCUCAGAAAAAAGACAACUUCAAGAACAUACCUUUGCUGGGCACCGUGGCUCACGCCUGUAAUCCCAACUACUUGGGAGGCUGAGGCAGGAGGAUCACUUGAGGCCAGGAGUCUGAGAUCAGCUUGGGCAACUGAUUUAUGGUUUGGAUUUGUGUCCAUGCCCUUCUUCUUCUGCCAUGAUUAUAAGUUUCCUGAGGCCUCCCUAGCCAUGCUUCCUGUACAGCCUACAGAACUAUGAGUCAAUUAAACCUCUUUUCUUUAUAAAUUA